AUUGAACGCUGGCGGCAGGCUUAACACAUGCAAGUCGAGCGGAGUGAUGGUGCUUGCACUAUCACUUAGCGGCGGACGGGUGAGUAAUGCUUAGGAAUCUGCCUAUUAGUGGGGGACAACAUCUCGAAAGGGAUGCUAAUACCGCAUACGUCCUACGGGAGAAAGCAGGGGAUCACUUGUGACCUUGCGCUAAUAGAUGAGCCUAAGUCGGAUUAGCUAGUUGGUGGGGUAAAGGCCUACCAAGGCGACGAUCUGUAGCGGGUCUGAGAGGAUGAUCCGCCACACUGGGACUGAGACACGGCCCAGACUCCUACGGGAGGCAGCAGUGGGGAAUAUUGGACAAUGGGGGGAACCCUGAUCCAGCCAUGCCGCGUGUGUGAAGAAGGCCUUAUGGUUGUAAAGCACUUUAAGCGAGGAGGAGGCUUACCUAGUUAAUACCUGGGAUAAGUGGACGUUACUCGCAGAAUAAGCACCGGCUAACUCUGUGCCAGCAGCCGCGGUAA
rnacentral:rRNA from 1 species